rnacentral:lncRNA from 1 species
AAAGUAAUUAUUCAUAUGAAGAAAUGUAAUAUUUCAAAAUUAUUACUUUUUUCAAAAAAAUGUUAUUUUUACUUACGAAAACUUGUAAUUUUAAUGACUUGGUCAAGUAAUUAUAGUUGUAAGAAAAAAUAACCAUUGAUAUGAAUAAAGGUAAUUUUUUAUAAAAAAUGAAAUAAAUGAAAAAAAAGUAUAUAUAAAAUGUUAAAAAGAAAAAAUUAAACGAAAAAGCAAAAGAAAAUAAAUAAAACACUUUACUAAAGUAAUUAUUAUUGUAAUAAAAAUUAACCAUUGAUAUGACAAAAAAAAUAUACAGUAUAAAUGUAAUAACAGAAAAAAAAAAGCAAUAAGAAACACAAAAAAUGCUAAUGCAAAAAGAAUCAUUUAUAAUAGAAAAAAAAAAGGAAAAAAAGAAAAAAAAAAACGACUAAUGCAAAAAGGAAAAUAGAAAAAAAUGGGAAAAAAAAUGUUGCUGAGAAGAUUCGAACCUUGGUAGAUAAGACAGGGAAAACUUUCCCCCACCACUACACCACAUCUAACUUUGUAAUUAAGAAGGAAACAGUUUUGAUAUACUAUUCGAGCCCAGAUCCGCCCAUCCCACACCAUAACCCGCCAGACCCGCGCCCAAACUCACCCGACCCGACCCGACCCGCGCCCCGACCCGUCUCAUGGGGUGAGGUUGACCUCACCCA